UCCCCCGUGAGGGGGCAGUCUCGCCAGACACUUGUAACUGGCAACGAGGGUUGCGUUCGUUACCCCACUGAAGGGAACGAUUCAAACCACGAACUGACGACAGCCGUGCAUCACCUGUCCUACACCUUCGAAAGCUUCCUCGGUUUCCCGAGGCGUGCAGUAGGAUUUCUAACCCUGGUAAGGUUCUUCGCUUAGCGACGAAUUGAGCCACACGCUCCACCACUUGUGCAAGCUCCCGUCUAUUCCUUUGAGUUUUAGCCUUGCGGCCGUACUACCCAGGCGGAUGACUUAACGCGUUAGCUUCGCCUCCCAGAGGGUCGAUACUCCGAAAAGCCAGUCAUCAUCGUUUAGGGCGUGGACUAC
rnacentral:misc_RNA from 1 species